rnacentral:rRNA from 1 species
UACGUAGGGUGCGAGCGUUAAUCGGAAUUACUGGGCGUAAAGCGUGCGCAGGCGGUUUUGUAAGCCAGAUGUGAAAUCCCCGGGCUUAACCUGGGAAUGGCAUUUGGGACUGCAAGGCUUGAGUUUGGCAGAGGAGACUGGAAUUCCUGGUGUAGCAGUGAAAUGCGUAGAUAUGCGGAGGAACACCGAUGGCGAAGGCGGGUCUCUGGGCCGUAACUGACGCUGAGGAGCGAAAGCAUGGGGAGCGAACAGG